rnacentral:lncRNA from 1 species
UAAAAAGUCUUGACAAGUUGUAAAAAGAAACCUAAAUUAUAGUUACCAUUACAAUCACCAUUUUCUUGACUAUUUAUUAAUUCCUUCAAUUGAACCUUUUCAUAUAUUUUUCAUUGUUUUUGUAUAUUCGCUUCAUUUGAACUUUGGUACAGUUGUGGCAUCGUUAAUCAUACAUCAUUUGUAUUAGUAUAUACACUAUUA